rnacentral:rRNA from 1 species
AAGGCUAAAUACUCUCUAGUGACCGAUAGUGAACCAGUACCGUGAGGGAAAGGUGAAAAGCACCCCGGAAGGGGAGUGAAAUAGAACCUGAAACCGUGUGCUUACAAGUAGUCAGAGCCCGUUAAUGGGUGAUGGCGUGCCUUUUGUAGAAUGAACCGGCGAGUUACGAUUUGAUGCAAGGUUAAGCAGUAAAUGUGGAGCCGUAGCGAAAGCGAGUCUGAAUAGGGCGUUUAGUAUUUGGUCGUAGACCCGAAACCAGGUGAUCUACCCUUGGUCAGGUUGAAGUUCAGGUAACACUGAAUGGAGGACCGAACCGACUUACGUUGAAAAGUGAGCGGAUGAACUGAGGGUAGCGGAGAAAUUCCAAUCGAACCUGGAGAUAGCUGGUUCUCUCCGAAAUAGCUUUAGGGCUAGCCUCAAGUGAUGAUUAUUGGAGGUAGAGCACUGUUUGGACGAGGGGCCCCUCUCGGGUUACCGAAUUCAGACAAACUCCGAAUGCCAAUUAAUUUAACUUGGGAGUCAGAACAUGGGUGAUAAGGUCCGUGUUCGAAAGGGAAACAGCCCAGACCACCAGCUAAGGUCCCAAAAUAUAUGUUAAGUGGAAAAGGAUGUGGCGUUGCCCAGACAACUAGGAUGUUGGCUUAGAAGCAGCCAUCAUUUAAAGAGUGCGUAAUAGCUCACUAGUCGAGUGACACUGCGCCGAAAAUGUACCGGGGCUAAACAUAUUACCGAAGCUGUGGAUUGUCCUUUGGACAAUGGUAGGAGAGCGUUCUAAGGGCGUUGAAGCAUGAUCGUAAGGACAUGUGGAGCGCUUAGAAGUGAGAAUGCCGGUGUGAGUAGCGAAAGACGGGUGAGAAUCCCGUCCACCGAUUGACUAAGGUUUCCAGAGGAAGGCUCGUCCGCUCUGGGUUAGUCGGGUCCUAAGCUGAGGCCGACAGGCGUAGGCGAUGGAUAACAGGUUGAUAUUCCUGUACCACCUAUAAUCGUUUUAAUCGAUGGGGGGACGCAGUAGGAUAGGCGAAGCGUGCGAUUGGAUUGCACGUCUAAGCAGUAAGGCUGAGUAUUAGGCAAAUCCGGUACUCGUUAAGGCUGAGCUGUGAUGGGGAGAAGACAUUGAGUCUUCGAGUCGUUGAUUUCACACUGCCGAGAAAAGCCUCUAGAUAGAAAAUAGGUGCCCGUACCGCAAACCGACACAGGUAGUCAAGAUGAGAAUUCUAAGGUGAGCGAGCGAACUCUCGUUAAGGAACUCGGCAAAAUGACCCCGUAACUUCGGGAGAAGGGGUGCUCUUUAGGGUUAACGCCCAGAAGAGCCGCAGUGAAUAGGCCCAAGCGACUGUUUAUCAAAAACACAGGUCUCUGCUAAACCGUAAGGUGAUGUAUAGGGGCUGACGCCUGCCCGGUGCUGGAAGGUUAAGAGGAGUGGUUAGCUUCUGCGAAGCUACGAAUCGAAGCCCCAGUAAACGGCGGCCGUAACUAUAACGGUCCUAAGGUAGCGAAAUUCCUUGUCGGGUAAGUUCCGACCCGCACGAAAGGCGUAACGAUUUGGGCACUGUCUCAACGAGAGACUCGGUGAAAUCAUAGUACCUGUGAAGAUGCAGGUUACCCGCGACAGGACGGAAAGACCCCGUGGAGCUUUACUGUAGCCUGAUAUUGAAAUUCGGCACAGCUUGUACAGGAUAGGUAGGAGCCUUUGAAACGUGAGCGCUAGCUUACGUGGAGGCGCUGGUGGGAUACUACCCUAGCUGUGUUGGCUUUCUAACCCGCACCACUUAUCGUGGUGGGAGACAGUGUCAGGCGGGCAGUUUGACUGGGGCGGUCGCCUCCUAAAAGGUAACGGAGGCGCUCAAAGGUUCCCUCAGAAUGGUUGGAAAUCAUUCAUAGAGUGUAAAGGCAUAAGGGAGCUUGACUGCGAGACCUACAAGUCGAGCAGGGUCGAAAGACGGACUUAGUGAUCCGGUGGUUCCGCAUGGAAGGGCCAUCGCUCAACGGAUAAAAGCUACCCCGGGGAUAACAGGCUUAUCUCCCCCAAGAGUUCACAUCGACGGGGAGGUUUGGCACCUCGAUGUCGGCUCAUCGCAUCCUGGGGCUGUAGUCGGUCCCAAGGGUUGGGCUGUUCGCCCAUUAAAGCGGUACGCGAGCUGGGUUCAGAACGUCGUGAGACAGUUCGGUCCCUAUCCGUCGUGGGCGUAGGAAAUUUGAGAGGAGCUGUCCUUAGUACGAGAGGACCGGGAUGGACAUACCUCUGGUGUACCAGUUGUCGUGCCAACGGCAUAGCUGGGUAGCUAUGUGUGGACGGGAUAAGUGCUGAAAGCAUCUAAGCAUGAAGCCCCCCUCAAGAUGAGAUUUCCCAACUUCGGUUAUAAGAUCCCUCAAAGAUGAUGAGGUUAAUAGGUUCGAGGUGGAAGCAUGGUGACAUGUGGAGCUGACGAAUACUAAUCGAUCGAAGACUUAAUCAA